CGGCGCUUCAACUUAAGUCUACGCCCUCUGCCAAACAAAAAAGAAUACAAAAAGAAAAAACAUAGAAUUACGCGUUAUUUGCCAAGCAAUUCUAUCAACAAUCAAACUGUAGCCCUCAAGCAACUUUGUGCUCUCAGAAAUUUUUUUUUUUUUUUUGUGGUAAUUUUUUUUCGCAUAGUAUAUCUAUCGUAUCGACCGACCAAACACCUCCUCCUCUACCUCUACGCCUACCUUUUAUUUUUUCCUUACCUCUCUGUCUCUUGGAAACCAAAAACUCAAUUAGCUCUCUCCGCUCUCAAAUGGCUACCUCAGCUGCCGGCGCCGAUGAUGGUCGUAACAAGACGGUGACCGGCUACCCAGUUGAGCAGGGUCAAUUCGCAGCCGGCUACCCAGCCGCCGGAGCCUACCCCUACGUGGCCCCACCGCCGCCUCCUCACGCCAACACUUACCGGCCCAUGGGCCCACCUCCUUACUACGCCCCUCGGCCCACUGGGCCCAUCACGCCCAAUAGGCCCACCCUCCUCUGCCGCCUCCUCAUUGCCGCCAUCGCCGUCUUCGCCAUCAUGUCCCUCGUCUUCUUCAUCGCCUGGCUUGCACUCCGCCCCCGCCUCCCCGAGUUCCGGGUCGAAUCGGCCUCCGUCUUCCCGCUCAACGCCACUGGCUCCGAGCUCACCGCCACCUGGGACCUCACCCUCCUUGCCAACAACCCCAACCACAAGCUCAGAAUUUACUACGACAGCAUCCAGGCCUCACUAUUCUACGGCGACGAUUACCGGCUCGCCACGACGUCGUUGCCUCCCUUUGUUUUGACCAAGAGGAACCAGACGCGUGUCGGGUUCAAGCUGGCGACGGUGGGGGAGUACGUCGGCAAUUACGUGGCCAAGGGGAUCUCCGACGAGAGGGAUCGUGGGUCGGUGAGGUUCGGGCUAGGAGUUUUUGCUUCGGUUCGGUUUAGGUCUGGAGUGUUCCAGUCGAGGCCUCGCGUGUUGCGGGUCUUCUGCGAAAGGGUCGAUUUCGGGUUUGCCCAGAAGAAUGGGACGGGGACUUUGACGGGUCAGUCAAGUCCGUGUGUGGUUGACGUGUGACUGUGAGUAUAAUUAGUCCAUUGGAUUAACACAAAUUGGUAAAUGCUAUAUUUAGUCGUUGUUCAUGAUUUUGGGUUAUGGAAUAUAAUUCGUGAUCUUCUGAAUCCAAUUUCUCUCUGUUCUUUUAUGCUAGCUAAUGAUAGUAUAUUUUUUUUCAAUUAUUUUAUUAUGAUUUCUACUAGUUUUCUUUGUUUUGGAGGUAAAUACCAUUUUCCCCGUUUUGCAUAUGCUAAUUGGCAUUUGAAGUGUUGAGAUGGGUUAGAUGAUAAUAUGGGACAUUGCCACAUUAGGUUUUGUAUUUGUGUUAGAAUAAAGAGCAAUGUGAUUGUUUUUAGUGUUCUGGGGCUUUGUCAUUGUGAUUCAAACUCCAGAGCCAGAGACUGUAGGGUAUUGAGUGUUGCUUGGUGAAGCUUUAAUCGAGUGUUGACUCAUUUGGUAGAGAUGCAUAAAUGCAUUCUGAAUGGAUUAUAGGGUUUUCCCUCCACCCUUGAAUGCCACUUACCACACAGUCACAAGGAAAAAAGUAAGUGCGCACCAACCGUAGUUGUCUCCAAGCAUAACAUUUGAAGAAACUCAUCCCUAUUGUUUGUUAAUGAUAUCAAACCAUUGUUCGUGCCUUCAAAGAUUAUGCGCUUGAGAAGAAUGGUAAAGACUUUAUUUAAGCAUUGGAUUUGUGGUAGUGGCUACUAAGCCUCUCUGUUAGGAUGUCUGUUUUAUUGUGCUUAAUGCUGGUUGUAAGUCUAGGGUUGUGAUUCAAGCUGUUGUCUUGUGAUUCAAGUCAAUAGUAUUGGAACAGUACAAGAUUUUCCUGGGGAAGGGGAGCUUGGUCUACUAGGAACUAGCAAGUAGUGUGAUUUUACCUAUGUAUUGAGAAAUUGUUUAUUGUUUUGCUCUCGAAGAAUUAAAACGAAUCUCUCUACUUACUUCAUCAUCGUAGAGAUCAAUUCUUUUUAUAGGAGUUUGGUGUUAUUUGUUCUCUCUCUCUCUCUCCGCCCAUAGGAUAACAUCAUAAUGUUUAUCUUUUCAGACUCUGAAUUUGUGCUCAUGUAAAUGUGGUGUUGAAUGUUUGCUUGUAAUGGUCGAAUUGUGCUUUAGGCACUACUGUACGAGUAACGAUUAAGAGGAGUGGCUAGGUAAAGACUGUAGUUGCAGUUAAUUUGACUUCCAAACCAUUUCUACUACAAUGUUAAGUUUCAUAGUAGGUUAUGAUUUGGGUUCAGUUGAUAUAUGAUAAUAAUAGAACUGUUGUCAAAUGUAAAGUCAUUCUCUUUCUGAUUUUGUAGCUGUUGUCAAAUGUAAAGUCAUUCUCUUUCUGAUUUUGUAUUUACUCCUUUCCUGGCUGCUUUCCAUUUAGGUUUUUUCCUUUGAAACUCAGCUGCAUGUCUUCUUGUAGGAGAAAAAACACCAAACUUUUGUUCUGGCAACAUUUUAAUUACGUCAUACUGUAUUGCAUGUUUUCUGCUCCAUUUUAACUGUGUCAAUAUGCUGUUAAGUUGGCCAAACAGGGAACUUUUUAUGUUUGCUCUGUACUACUACGUCAAAGCUUGCCUGUAUUAGCUUUCACACUUUCAGUAUAGUUCUGAGCUGAUGUAGUUGCAUUGUUAUUGUUGAAGUUUUGAUUUUGAAAAAUUCAGAAUUUUGGGCUCAGAAGCCAUGCGAGGUUGGAGAUUAGAAAAGGGGCAUUGCUCGUCUUGCCCAAUGCGUUGAUGUUACUUGUUUUUAAUACUUAAGAGAAGCAAUUAUGUGCUUCUGAAGUCUCUUAUCAUACUUGAAUUUUAGUACUGGUUUUAAACUAUUAAUCUAGUGAUGCCAAACACUGUCCUUUUGUCCUUGAUGCUGAAGUGGUUUUAGUUUUACUUUGAUUUUGAUGAUUUCAUUUCUGAUGUUUAUAGGUGUUAGAGGUUAAUGUGUGUUGAGAUUGUUUUUCUGCUCUUUUAUUUUCUGUUUGUGGUUGAAACUUGAAACAUAGAAUCAGUUUCCAAAAAAUUGAAUUCAGUAUUUCAGGUUGGUACUGUAGUUCCUAUGAUUGGUGACAUAGUUGUAGCUCAACAGGUAGUUCAUAUUUUCCUAAUUUUAAAAGAACUUUUUAUUUUAAAGGUCCUUUUAGUGACAUUUUUGUUUUUUACUUUUAAGCUUUUCUUUAACGAGGUAGAGGGGGAGAGGUGGACGGUUCUUAGGAGAAAGGUGAGGGAAAAAGGAGAGAAAAAAUACUUCAAAAGUUCUAAAAAGUAAAAAAGCAAUUUAAAUGGCUUUUAGCCUGUUACUUUUAAUUCUCUCUACUUCUCCUGUCUUGUUCAUCUCUUUCAUCUCCUCCAUCACUUUAAUUUUCUAUAAAAGCUGUUAUCAGGGAUGCCUUCACUCCGCGUUUUUCUUUUGCUGGCAUUUAUGUAGUAGGCUUCAUCUAUUAAAGAGUUAUGAUUAAUCAAGGCAUGAGGCAUCAGUUUCAGUUAGGCGAAAUUAGGUUUUCAACGAAGAAAUAAAGCCUUACAAGUUCCUCGUCAUUACUUGCAUGUACUUUGCUUUUGAACUAUUCCAUCAUCAGUUCAACAAUUGAUUGAUGUGUAGAAUUUGGUCUUGGGUGUAUUGACUUGAGAUAGGUUGAAGAUGUAUUUAGUUGGUCCAUGCUUAGAGCUCUGAUUUGCUGGCUGAAAUGGUUUAACUUUUGGAAAUUUUCCUCUCUAUUUCACCGGUUGUACAGAAUCAUGUGUCUAUUAUGACGUGACACCUUAACGACCCUAAACUCGGACUAGAAAGAGUUCAAUCCCUCCCUCCUAUAUAUAAGUAUUAGCAAUUGUAUAGGUAUCUUUGGUUCCACCGCUUGUUUAAGUAAGGAGGCAGUGGGAUGAAGUGGUUGCUUGGCCGACAGAGCUUUCUGGGGUGGCCUAAAUAACUUUAUGAAAGCCUAUAUAUUAUGCAGAUAGCAUUGGCAAUGGAAUUAUUUAUAAACUAAUAACACUUUGAUUAUAUCUUAUAAACAUGAUAAGAUUCUCAGACACGAUAAUAGUGUACAUAUUUGUAUAUCUCCAGUUGGACAUGAUUAGGACGCUAGUGGAUUGAGAGAGAUUGACAUUGAUUUUUAGUGCAUGUAAAAGUAAUUGUGUAAAUAUCUGGGAUGUUUCUUCUUUUUUUUCUUUUUCUUUUUUUCUGUUUUCUUAUGGGCCCGUGAAGAAACAGCAUUGGAAUGAAAAUUCUGUGUCCAAAUUAGGAACGCGUGAGGGAUGAGACAUGGUUGCCCUUUGUCAUUUUCUACUGCUGAUUAGGACAAUCAGAAUGUGGAGGGAGCUAUUUGAUUGAUGAUUGAACAUAAGAAACUAAUCAAAUUAUCUGUUGUGAAGUUUAAUAAAAGAAGAGACACAAAUCUACAAGUCUCACGCAAUGAAAGCUAAAUCCAGAUUUAUUUUUGUAAGAAAACAAAGUCGUCCUACUAGCAAUUGACUGAUUUCACUUGACCAAAAGGUUGGGAUAGCAAUUUUUCCCGUCACACCCAAUCUCCACAUUGAUCUGUCCCGAAUGGGAUGGGGAUUGAGGCUUCUGCCCUUUCUCCAUCCCAUUCCGUUUUACAACUAUCAUGUUAAAGAAUGAUAAUUGUUUUGUUGACUCUUAAAUUUAAGCUUUUAUGAAUGGGAUGUGGAAUUCGAAUCUCAAUGAAGAAGACGAUAUCCAAUAGGGUUUGAGGCGGGAUUGUGGAUAUUUAACUUUUAUGGGGAUGGGGAUGAGUGUGAAAUAAUUGUUUCUUCGAGUAAAUUUUGUUAGGGGUAUAACUUACCACGAAGCUACAAACCCAACAUUAUUGCAUAUGUUUCUUCCUUUGCAGGCGAAAUAGUCCUCUGGGAGGGUGCAAAGGAUAGGAAGCUUCUCACUGGCCAUGUGACGGCAUGUGGAAAAUACGUAACAAAAGGCUUUACUUGGUGGCGUUUACACCUACGCCAUUAUUAUUAUUAGGCACCAUUUUAUAUUUAUAUUCAAAACUCAAAGCAGUGCAUGAACUGAUGCAAAAAAACAAAAACAAAAAAGAUUUAGGGGCUUUUAAGAUAUUUCCAUGUUGAGUCGGUUAGCUUGGCAAGUCAGUUUGAUCUUAAGGCUUUUCAUAAUUCAUUCAUAAUGUAGGAAAACACUUAAAAGGAAAGUGAUUGCUUGCAUAAUUACUUAUGAUAAUUUUGAUCUCCAUUUAAAGGAAAGUGCUUGGAUGAUCCCCUUUUUUUUUUCUUCUCAAAACUUGCUUUCAAAGUUCAUUUUCCAUCAUAUUUCAACUCCUUUUCUUCAAGAUACUUCUACCAUCAUACAUCAUAGAUGCAUCCAAAUGACUAUCUAGGGUUCAUUGGCUCAUCAUCACCCACUAUUAGUUUCACUUUUUUAUUAAUAGGGUGAUCAAUUACCCUUCAAACCAAUUCAAGACAGCUUAAUCAACCCAAUUAGAUAGUCAUCAUUUUGUGUCACCAAGAAUAUUAUCCCUUUCUUUCACCUCCAUGUCUUUUCUUCCCCAUUUUUCUUCUCAUUGUUUUUGGAACUCUCCCCUUCUUAGAAUGACCCACCAAUCAAAGGGUUUCUUUCUUCUCUCUCCCCCAAUGCUUUAUUCCACCAACUUUUUGUUUUUGUCUCUUUCAUUAACCCAUGGUUAACAGAAAGAAGCAUAGCCACAGAUUCUAGUCAGAUUUUAGCAGCAAAGCGCAUGAAGACAACAAACGAAUCCAUUGGGUGCAAGUUGCAUAGAACAAUUUUGGCUUUGGGCAUUCAUAUUAACCACAAAGGUUAGGUUAAAAGUUAAUUGUGAUUUACUUAACAGAGAUUUAAACAGGAAAUUGGGAUUUGGUGGUUUCAAAGAAGAUCUUGUAGGGACAUUUGUAAUUCCCAAAGUAGGGAUAAAGAAUCAGCAUGGAUGUCAGUGCAAGUGCAGAAGAGAAUACCUUUGUGUGUGUAGAAUCUAGUAGGCAUUGGCCACAAACCACCCCACCCUUCUUUAUGGACAUUUGGGGAUAUCCUUGGCUUCUUUUUGCGGCUUCCAUGUUUUGUAAAAGUGCUUUUACCCAAGGCAUUUUCUUCUUGUUUUUAUGAGAAAAUUGAGAGAAUCAGCAGCAAAGAAUUUGGUAAAGGGCCCUCUGCAUUCUCUGGAAACUGCACUAAGUGUACUUGGUUUCUUUGGCCACAGUACAUAAGAGAUGCAACAAGAGGAAAAGAAAACAAUCAAAUAAGUUCUACAGCACCAAGUACCAAAUAAUUGAACUCCAACAUGUCUAUGAGUAAGGCUCCAAUGAUUCAAAUUUUGGGUUUGGUCGUACCCAAAUAGUAAUAUUCUAAAGGAAAAUGCAACUAAGAUCAAAUAUUUCGAGCCGCUUCCGUGAAAAAUUCAAACUUUCUUUUUUAAUACUUCAAUCACAUAAAAAUAUAAACUUUGAGAUUCAAUAGCUAAAUACAUGGCAAUUGAAUCAUGAGCCGAGAUCAUAAAGAGCAUACAAGUAUACAAAGUGGAUGUCAUUGUAGGUGUCAAAUGAGUGAAGAAGAAGAAAAGAGUCAUGUGCUUUUAGGUGUGCCAACUAAUAUUAUCUUUCCAUGGUUUGAUCUCAAGUCUCAUAUCUGGAUGUGGUUUUCUUCUCUUUGGAUUUAUAUAUGACAAUAUAUAUAUAUAUAUAUAUUUAUAUUUAUAUAUAUUUUAAAAAAACAUUUAAAACACCCAAAUUUAUACACCAGUCAUAUUUUAUACUGUAUUUCUUUUUUCUAAUAUUAUAACACUUAAAGAAAACCCAAGUAAAUGACAAAUAGUGUAUCAUAUCCACCCACCAUCUAAUAAUGCUAAAUUAGUAGAAAGUUAAGUCUUUUUUUAGCAGUGUUUCUUUCAUUUGAUCCAAGACUUUUCUACAAGAGGCCUAUGUCAGAAUUAGUUAUUUGAUUUCAUAAGACUCUGCCAGAAUUUGACUCAGCAACAACCAAUUUCUAACCAUGUGUCUUCAAGCCAAGAAAUAAGACAAAGUAGGCCCUUCUGAAGAUUUCAACUUUUGUGAAUUGCUUAACUUUGAGCAAAUUGAUGGUGCAUAGAAGAAAUUUGAUUCCCUAUAUUUUUUUCUUCUCACUUGCUAAUAUCCAGUCAUUCGGUUGCAAACGACAAUGACUUUCAUUAAAUGAAAAUUGUUUCAUAGGAAAACAUCCAAAUGGUUAAGAACUUAAAGAAAGUUGAUGUUUGAAGUAUAUUUUAGAGAGGGGAUAAGGAGAACAACACUUUCAGAAACAAUGAAGGAAGAGAAAAUUUUAUAUAUUGAUUAAGAUUAUCGACCUGAUAACGAGAGAUUCACCUUAAUCAGCGACUCAUUGUCCGUACACAUAUCAAUAAUUUUCAUGUAACGUAAUCUUGUUCGGCAAGCUUCUAUCACCAUUUGAGAGAGAGAGAGAGAAAAAAAAUUGUAUAAAAUUAAGAGGUAGAUAAAAAUUGGUCAUAGGUUUGGUCAUUGGUGGUUGAGGAGACUUUUAGAGCUCGAUGUCGAUACUAAAUGUGUGAAAAAACACAUCAUGGUCUUGUAGUUCAUAUUCACACUUGCCAACCGACAUAAUCAAUUUCUAGUUUCUACCAUCAAUAAUGUAUUGGAGUGUAGUUUGGUUUGGUGCUUUUAACUAAAAUUAGUACAUGUAUUGAAAUUAUUGCUCUCUUUUUUUGUUGCCCACGUACCCUUUUACCAUCUGCUGGGAAAGUGCAGUGCAGCUAACCCUACUUUUCCUUGAUUAAAAAAUUAUUUUUAUAAAAUAAAUAAAUAAAUAAAAAAACCGUUCUCAAUGUUGUUUUCUAAGUAACAUUUUAGGAUUUUUAAAAAGCAAAACAAAAUAAUUAAAGAAACAAAACUGAUGAAAGAAAGGCUAACAAUUUUCUUUCUGGGAAAGCAAUGGGUUCUUUAUGAAAAAGGGUUUAAGCUUUUAAUCCACCCAAACAAAGUCUUUGUUUCUAAUUCAUCAGAGGUUAUGAAAUUUUCAAUACAUCCACAUCCAAAUCAUGUUUUUUUUUUUCCUUUUUUUUUUCUUUUUUUUUUUCCUUCUAUGUUGCAUCAUUGUUAGGCUUUAGGCUUUAGGCUUUAGCUGGUGGGAGAAGUAAUAUUUUGGAACCCAGAGGUUUCCUCUGUCAUGAUAAGUGGGGCCAAGUGGGUGCAAGAGACGUGUCAAUUAGACUUUUCCCAUGUAUCCAUAUUCAAUCGGACGGUGGUGAAGAGUCUUGCUUUUCCAAACACUUUAUUGAAGUCACAAUCGGCCCAUUCACAUUCUAAAUUCUAGUAUAGAAAGAAAUUUUAAAAAAUAUGUUAUUUUCUUUAGGCUUUUUGUCUUUCUGAGUUGAUUAAGAAAAAGCAGUGAGCUUCACUUUUUGACUAAGCGAGCACAACACAACUGAGGGUCAUGGAUUAAUACAAUCGUACUCAUUAAAACUCAUUUAUAUUGUUUUUUUAUAUAAAUGAUAUUCUAUUUUAAUUUAUUUUAAACUACAUAGAGGGGUAUUCAAACUCGGAUGUAAACACUGAAAUUCACUUACAUUAACAAUGAAGAUCGAUGGCAGACAAUAUUAAUGAUAUUUUAUUACAUAUAUAACUAUAUAUCUUGAAGCUAAUGCCAAUAGCGUAUUACUUGGAUCUGGUUUUGAAAAGAAUUAGGGUUUGAGCAACAAGAUCUUUCUUAGUGACUUGAGCCUCUAUAGUUUAUUGAAUGGACUUUAAUUUUGAUUAGUUGUAAAAUAAAGAAGAUUAAUAACUUGUUUUGAAACACUGAAACACAUGAGGUUUUUGAGGAGAAUUAUGAAGAAAAGAUAUGAACCAACCAUUGAGAUAACAUGUGGGUGAGCUCGACAAACAAUUUGAAAUCCUGUUUGUUGAAUAAAGCCAAGCAUAGAAAACGAUUGGUCUUAACCCAUCACACCAUAUGGGCAUCUUAACUAGGACACAUCAUGCAGUGAACAAAAACCCAACAAAUUUCAUCUAAGUUAUUUAGAUCAAAUCAUAUAAAUAAUAAACCCAAUUAGUAGCUAUAAUUGAUGAGCCUUGUCAAGUGACACAUGAUGACAUAAGGUAUUUGUGUAAUUUAAUUGGUUAAUGCCCAUGGUUAUGAUUGAGUAAUAAGAAAAACCAAACAAUGCCUUGGUACUGAAAAUUGAUGGGUCACCAAUUUCCACUACCUUGCUACACUACCACCAAACAACUCAAAAGCAACCAAAAAGUUCUUUAAAAAAUAAAAGUUAUUGGUUAGUGCUGGUUAACGAUUUAUAAUAUUUGGUUCAUUGUCGAUUAUUUGAUUGUUAUUAUAAAUAUUAACUUUAAUAGACAGUUACUCAUAUAAAAAAUAGAAAUUCAGAGUAAUUUUGGAAUGAGACCGUAAUCUAAUAUUAAACAUUUUUUUUACGCGAAUAAAAAACUAAUUUUCCUCAUAAUUAGUGAAAGUACUUUGAAAUGUCCCUAAACACAUUACACCUACUUUAGCAUACUUGCUUUUCCACCAUACAUACAUGAUCACAUAGAUCAUCAUCAUCUUCAUUAAAAACCAUGUAAUAUAUAUACCCCCACACACAUCCCCAACCAAAGCUCAUUUACUAAAGGGUCAACUCUCAAACCCAACUCUAACUCAACUCCAACCGUCCUUCCUCUCUCUCUCUCAGUCUCCCUCUCCACCUCCACCGCAAACUACCGCGGCCGCCGCCAUGUCGUACAAGGACUGCGGCCAACACGGAUACAACAAGCGGCGAAGGAGGUUUAAACGCUGCUGCGCCGGGCUCCUAAUCUUCAACUUCAUCCUGCUCGUCACCAUCCUCAUCGUGUGGGCCAUCCUCCAGCCCUCCAAACCCCGCUUCAUCCUCCAAGACGUCACCGUCUUCAACUUCAACAACUCCGUACCCAACGUCUUCUCCUCCAGCUUCCAGGUCACCGUCUCCUCCCGCAACCCCAACGACAAGAUCGGCAUCUACUACGACAGGCUCAACAUCUACGCGACAUACCGUAAUCAGCAGAUCACCUUCUCCACGCUCAUCCCGCCGGUGUACCAGGGUCACAAGGACGUCAACGUCUGGUCGCCGUUCAUCUACGGCACCGAAGUCCCCAUCGCGCCGUACAAUUCCCUGGCGCUGGACCAGGACAAGAAUGCCGGGUCGGUUUUUUUGCUGCUGAAGAUGGACGGCCGGGUGAGGUGGAAGGUCGGGACUUUUAUCUCGGGCAGGUACCAUUUCUACGUUCGGUGCCCCGCUUUUAUCCCUUUGGGUCCGAAGAACAACGGGGUUGUGGUCGGAAAUAACGCCAUCAAGUACCAGCUGCUGCAGCAUUGCAAAGUGAGCGUGUGAAGAAGAAGAUGGACGGGAACUGGAGGCUAAAUGUUACCGUUAAGACGCCGUUAGUUCAUUUUCUUUAAUUUUUCUCAAAUUUCUUCUUCUUUUUUUCUUCUUAAUUUGAACUUUUAGUUGGAGUCUUUGCGUCUGGUUAUAUAAUUAUAUAUACGCUUUGGUGUUUUGAAUUGUAAAUUUUGCUAUAGAAUAAAAACGGAGGAUUAUGAUACAACGUAUAGCAAAAUUGCAGUCGGUCGGUGGUGAUUGAUUUUCAAUUGUAUAAUUUAAAUUUAUAGUUUAUUUUAUAUAAUUCAAUAAUCAUGCAAUUGGAUACAGGUGGAGGUUGGGGUGUCAUUUUCUUUCAAUUUAUAUUUUUUUUUUCUCUCUUCUAAUAAUUUUAUUUUCUUUUGGGGAAUUACUUAAAUAAAUUAUGUCAAUUUUGUAUUCCUCAAGCUAUAUGGACAUCAUCCUUCCCCCUUCAUCAUUAAUUUAGUUGUACCACUUAGCUGGAGAAGUCUUCGUCAACAAUUUAAAAUUUAGAAUCCCACUUUUUUUUUAAUUCUCUCACAUGGGAUGAGUCUUUUUUUUCUUUUUCUUUUUUUAAAUUUUAUAGAAAAGAGUUUAAUUCGAUUGGCAUAAAAAUGGCCAGAAGCUAAGGAAAAGGAGAAGAAUAUGAAACAUACAUUAAUCCGUAGUAAUGCAGUUAUAUUGAAUGUGAUGAAAUGUUGCUUCCAUUAUUUACGAGUGGUCCCACUUGGGAAGGUUGGUGGAUGGGGCCUACAUGGGCUUCAUGGGUUUAUAAAAGAAACCUAUAAAUGAUAUUAGGGCAGGCAGGAAGAAUCGAACUUAAAAUCUUAGAUGCAUUGAUAAAUACUGUUAAUUAUUUUAGCUAUAAAUCUCCUACCGGAUAAAUGUGGCUAAAAUUGGUGGAGCUGUAGUAGCUAGGGUGGGGAUUAUUAGGAAUUUUGGAUGCGUUGGUUUUGGAGUGGAGUUUAUUUAUCGUCUUCCACACGGUGGUGGUGGUCCUUUUCAACCCCCCCUCCUCUAAGUGAGAAUUUGCUCUUUCUACCUACUAAUAAUGGAGAGAUGGAAAGGGACUUUCAUGAAUAAAAGUUUUCAACAUAUGGCUCUCAUAAAAUGUGACAUAUUGUUGAGCUAAGGAUAUAUAGAAUAGAGUGAAGAGAUAAAGAGUGGGGGGGUGGUCUGUGUCAAGCUCUGAAGCUCAUCACAUGAUUGCGUGCACAAUGAGUCAAAAGCAAGCAGACAGAAUUAUAUUGUGCGCAUUCAUAAGAUUUUGGUAGCAUUUUGAUGAGUUCAAAAUUAUUGGCAUGAUCAAUUAAGAUUAGGAUCCAGAGGAGUUGGUGUGCAUGUUGAUUUUGAGUCAUUUUGAUCACAGCUGGCAUGAACAAUUUUAAAUAAAUAAAUAAAACAUAGCAUAAAUGAAAUAAGGUUGAGAUUUGAGAGGCCUGUCUCAAAGAGGGGAAUUGGGCUGCCUGGCCAUGAAACGCUUACAAAAACCAUCAAAGUGAAAAAUGAAGCAAUAACAUAAAACAAAAUUUUCAUGUUUGGUGGGUGGCUUUGGUAAUAUAUUAGUUUGACAUGGCGAACCGACUUCAAACCCUAAAAAGUCUAGGGAGUUGCCCUAAUGCGACUUUCAGGUUAAAAGUAACAUGGGGGGCAUCUUAUUAAUUCCACAAUGUCUAAACUAUGGGAGGCUUCCUGGUUUUAGGACCAAAAUAUGUGAACAAAAUAACUUCACAUGCCAACAGCAACCCAACUGGUGACACACUUGUGACAAAAUCUCAUGACUCGGGAAGAAGAACAUGUCCCAAGAAAGAUAAGAAGAUAAGUUCUAGCAGUACUCAAAUAAAACCAAAAUAGGAUUCCAUUUCUUCCCCAAAAAAUAGUAGGUUCAUGGCAUGUUUAUAGGGAGAAAACCCGUCCAUAUGCUUAUGCGUAUAAUGAAUUUAAGUGAUUUUAAAGUCCGUUUGGAUGAGGGAUUUAGGCUUCCAUGAGAUUUAUAAAUCUACAUUGGCUAAAUGCCUUGUUUGGCAAGUUCAAAAAAAGAAACUUCAAAAAUGACUUGGGAUUUAAAGGAGGGAUUUGUAAAGCCCAAAUUCCAUUAUGAAAUAACACCUAAACAUGCAUUACUUUGAAAUUUCCACACUCGAACGCGACCAAAGCCAACGACAAAAUAAUUAGCCAAACAACGAAUUUUACUAAUCUCAUCAUUGUGAAGUCCCUCACCUUAAAAUCCCAUCACUUCAAAAUCUCUUAUCCAAACACAACCUUAAGCAAUUUUCUCAAAAAUUCAUUUAAAAUCACUUACUUAAAAUGAUUAUUAACCUAUCUAGAAUCAUUCACAAACAAACUCUUAAUCUUGAAAUCGGUUGCUAUGGAAACCUUUUAACACUAAUCAGUGCAGAUAACAAAUUACCUUUCGGAGUUUUGGGCUAUACUGCCUUCUGCUUCAAGUUAGGCUUUGUGAUCUCUAGGCCUCAUGAAAUUACACAUGUGAUCUGAUGGGCCAAGUUGGGUCAGGCAUGGAUCCAUGAAGAUGCAUCGGUUAUCCCACGAGUUCUAUUUUCUUCUCUUUGUUUCGAAACCCUAAAUUUAAAAGUCCACAAGUUAGGCCAGUUUUGAUGAAAGAAAAUCUAAACGCAUCCAUUUUAAUCGUGUGAUAUUUUUCAGGACAGGUGGACUAUACAGCGUUAAAAUAGUCAUACGAAGACAGAGAUCACUACAUGUCACAUGUGAUGAUGUCAAUGGUUUAGAAUUGGCCGUAAAGAACUCUGAACAAGUCAUCCACGAAAGCUUUAUAGAUAGACUUUGGCCAUGCAUAGUUUAUUUAAAAUUCAUUGUCAUAUCUGUGGAUUUGCAUGAAUUUCAAUUCAACAGUGGAGAUGGACAUUUUCUUUUUUUUUUGGUUUUUUUUCGGUAUGUGCGUCAACACGGAUUAGGUUGCUUAAUUACAAUGUCGUUUGGCGGUGACAAAUCAUAUUACUAAAUGUAAGAAAGGAAGUUAAUUGAGCUGGGUUUUUUGUUUUUUCACAAACAAAACGACAGAAUGUUUUUUAAAAUAUAUAAAUUUUUUGCAAAAGGUCAACACACCUAACUUAACGAACAUAAAAAAUGUAUAUCAUGCUCGUAUGUGUGUGAAUUGAACUUACCAACAGCCCGCUUAUUUGGUGUACUUUUACAUGAGCAUUGUAGGAGAUGCAAUUGAAUAUAUGAUGAAAAUGUGAAACAAAAAUGGAUUAAGGUUAGAGUUAUUGUACACAUAUAGGUGGCCUAAUAUAGUUUUAUAAGUUUCUUUUUUAUGUUUUUUUAAAAGCUAGCCGUCACACAUGGCCGUUAGAACGCUUUUUUUCUUUUUCCUUUUCAAAUCUUUCUUUCAUUUGAAUUGUAAGUAUGAAGUGUUUAAGCUUCUUUUUUCUUUCUGGCAUUGUUCAUCAAAAUUAGCUUCAUGAAAAUGUCAACAUGGUUAACAAAAUAUUGUUAUUUAAUCUCUUUGAAAUCAUAAUUCAAGUGAUUAAGAGAAAUUACUUUUGCAUCCGUGAUUGAGGAAUUCAAACCCAAAUUCUAAUUAAUAAAUAUUUAGAAUUGAAGUUACUGGGUUCUUUUUUUUCCUUUCAAAAUUUGGUUUGGUAUUAGUUUUUAUAUUUAAGAUUUGGUUCGGUGGAGGUAUUAACUUUUGUAACCUCUUUGUCCUUUUGGGGUAUAAUUAUGAUUAUGAAAUUGAAGUACGAUAGAAACAGAGGGAGGCAAAAGUCAAGCAAAGGCCAACGGAAACUACCAGGAACCACCUGCCUAUCCCACACGCUGACGCUGAGUAUUAAGUCCCUCGAAAGAGACUUCCUCGCAAAAACACUAAACACACCCCCCUUCCCACUUCUAAAUCCGACCUUCUAAAGCAACCGCGUUUUUCAUUUUCCAAUCCCACCCCCCACGCGGCCUUGCCGCAUUCCUAAUCCCACCCAUAUUCGCCCCUUAUAUAUACCACACUUCACCUUCUUCAUCUCUCAUUCUUUACUCUCUCUCCCUCUACCCUUUUGCUUAUAAUUAUAAUUUGAUCUUUUCUCAAUUCUCUCAGCCAUGUCAGAGAAACAAUCUCAUUUGAACGGGGCCUACUACGGCCCCUCAAUCCCACCCAAAUCCCAAGCCUACCACCGCCAUGGCCGUGGCAGCGACCCCCUCGGCUGCUGCUGCGGCUGCAUCUUCAGCCUUAUUUUCAAGCUCAUUAUGACCGCCGUCGUCAUAGUGGGCCUGGCCUUUUUCAUCUUCUGGCUCAUAGUCCGCCCCAACCACAUCAAGUUCCACGUCACCGAAGCCCACCUCACCCAAUUCAACUUCUCCAAUGACAGCACCCUCCACUACAACCUCGCCCUCAACCUCACCAUCCGCAACCCCAACAAGAAGAUCGGGGUCUACUACGACCGCAUCGAGGCCAGGGCCAUCUACGAGGACCAGAGGUUCAGCACGUACACCUCGACGACGCCCUUUUACCAAGGGCACAAGACAACGAACGUGGUGAACCCGGUGUUCCAGGGCCAGCAGGUGAUCCCAGACACGAAAGUGCUCUCCGAGUACAAUGAGCAGAAGAAUAGUGGGGUUUACG
rnacentral:lncRNA from 1 species